GACAGAGGUGCCGAGCGUUAGGCGGAAUCACUGGGCUUAAAGCGUGUGUAGGCGGGCGAUCAAGUACCUUGUGAAAUCCCACGGCUCAACCGUGGAACCGCUGGGUAUACUGGUUGUCUUGAGCCGGCUAGGGGCGAGCGGAACAGACGGUGGAGCGGUGAAAUGCGUAGGAUAUCGUCUGGAACGCCGAAGGUGAAAACAGCUCGCUGGGGCCGCGCCUGACGCUGGAGACACGAAAGCCCAGGGGAGCGAACGGGAUUAGAGUA
rnacentral:rRNA from 1 species